CAGAGCUACCGGAAUUCCCUUAGAGUUGACAAUUGGAACUGAAGGUUCACAGACUAAGGUGUCAGUCAGGCAGCCUCACUCUGGGAUGAAAGAGCACCAGGUCAGGUUCUGAGAAAUAAAGGUUUAAAGUGGAUCUAGUUUAUGAGCUCUGGAAGGAAACUGCAUUAAAAUCAAGACUCAUAUAAGUGUUGUUUAUGUCUGAGGUGGGUGAAGAGAUCAGUCCUGUAACUGAGGAAGCAAACCACCCUACUUACUAAGUAGAGAGCCAAGUGAUCUUCAGAAUUUCUGCCAACAGCCAAUUAUGAGAGAUGGGGGUAGAUAUGGAAAUGGAACUUACUUUAUAAACACAAUGUGUGAUGUAAUGUGCUAGAGAUGUGCAUCAUCUAUUGUAUUAUACUACCCAGUACUGGAGAAAAGAGAGAGAGAAACAUGGAGUCGUGGCAGCUCCAGAUUUCUUGUAAUGUCUGAUUCUGCCUUGAAGAGGAGUCACUAUUAAUGCCUGUACUAAUGGGAACCAGCCCCUGAUGAAGCUUUGGGCGAAACAGCUCCUUAUCCCGGGGUGGCUGUCGUGGUUUUUUCCUGGUGUGUUUUGUCUUCCAUCACCAAUUAUUAUCAAUCAUUACAGAGCAUGUUGCUUGCUUUCUUCGAAUGAAGGAUUCAUGCCUUGAACUACAUGCAUUCACAACAUCUUACUGAGUACAUCGUUUCCUUCUUUUGGAUUUGAGGAAUUAUUACCUGUACCGUAUGUACGCUUAAAUUUCUCAUUUUAAAGACAUCUCGGACUCUGUUUGGACACCUGUAUAUACUGGUUUCUCAUUCUUAUCAUUGCAUGUUGUAAUUCUACUGGGUAUUAUGCUAUUGUAUUUUUAUAUGUGUUAUACAGAUGUGUUAAAUUAUUUUCACGUGUA